AGAACAUGUCACAUAGUACAUAAUCAAUGAUGUCCUACCUUCCAUUCAUUAGCAUAACUAAACUGCUGUAAAAACAAACAACCUCAGUUUACCAGUAUAGUGUAAGCUAGGUCAUCUAAUGAUACAUUAACAGAGUUUAUGAGGCUAGAAACACCCCAGUAUCGUCUAAAAUAGGUCAUCUAAUGAUACAUUAACAGAGUUUAUGAGGCUAGAAACACCCCAGUAUCGUCUAAAAUAGGUCAUCUAAUGAUACAUUAACAGAGUUUAUGAGGCUAGAAACACCCCAGUAUCGUCUAAAAUAGGUCAUCUAAUGAUACAUUAACAGAGUUUAUGAGGCUAGAAACACCCCAGUAUCGUCUAAAAUAGGUCAUCUAAUGAUACAUUAACACAGUUUAUGAGGCUAGAAACACCCCAGUAUCGUCUAAAAUAGGUCAUCUAAUGAUACAUUAACACAGUUUAUGAGGCUAGAAACACCCCAGUAUCGUCUAAAAUAGGUCAUCUAAUGAUACAUUAACACAGUUUAUGAGGCUAGAAACACCCCAGUAUCGUCUAAAAUAGGUCAUCUAAUGAUACAUUAACAGAGUUUAUGAGGCUAGAAACACCCCAGUAUCGUCUAAAAUAGGUCAUCUAAUGAUACAUUAACAGAGUUUAUGAGGCUAGAAACACCCCAGUAUCGUCUAAAAUAGGUCAUCUAAUGAUACAUUAACAGAGUUUAUGAGGCUAGAAACACCCCAGUAUCGUCUAAAAUAGGUCAUCUAAUGAUACAUUAACAGAGUUUAUGAGGCUAGAAACACCCCAGUAUCGUCUAAAAUAGGUCAUCUAAUGAUACAUUAACAGAGUUUAUGAGGCUAGAAACACCCCAGUAUCGUCUAAAAUAGGUCAUCUAAUGAUACAUUAACAGAGUUUAUGAGGCUAGAAACACCCCAGUAUCGUCUAAAAUAGGUCAUCUAAUGAUACAUUAACACAGUUUAUGAGGCUAGAAACACCCCAGUAUCGUCUAAAAUAGGUCAUCUAAUGAUACAUUAACAGAGUUUAUGAGGCUAGAAACACCCCAGUAUCGUCUAAAAUAGGUCAUCUAAUGAUACAUUAACAGAGUUUAUGAGGCUAGAAACACCCCAGUAUCGUCUAAAAUAGGUCAUCUAAUGAUACAUUAACAGAGUUUAUGAGGCUAGAAACACCCCAGUAUCGUCUAAAAUAGGUCAUCUAAUGAUACAUUAACACAGUUUAUGAGGCUAGAAACACCCCAGUAUCGUCUAAAAUAGGUCAUCUAAUGAUACAUUAACAGAGUUUAUGAGGCUAGAAACACCCCAGUAUCGUCUAAAAUAGGUCAUCUAAUGAUACAUUAACAGAGUUUAUGAGGCUAGAAACACCCCAGUAUCGUCUAAAAUAGGUCAUCUAAUGAUACAUUAACAGAGUUUACAAGGUAAGAAACAGUAAGAU